UUUUGCCUACGGGGGGCAGCAGUGAGGAAUAUUGGUCAAUGGCCGCAGGGCUGAACCAGCCAAGUCGCGUGAGGGAUGACGGUCCUAUGGAUUGUAAACCUCUUUUGUCAGGGAGCAAAGGGCGCCACGUGUGGCGUUUUGCGAGUACCUGAAGAAAAAGCAUCGGCUAACUCCGUGCCAGCAGCCGCGGUAAUACGGAGGAUGCGAGCGUUAUCCGGAUUUAUUGGGUUUAAAGGGUGCGUAGGCGGUCCGUUAAGUCAGCGGUACAAUUGCGGGGCUCAACCCCGUCGAGCCGUUGAAACUGG
rnacentral:rRNA from 1 species